UACGGGGGGAGCAAACGUUGUUCGGAAUCACUGGGCGUAAAGGGCGCGUAGGCGGCCCUGUAAGUGGUGUGUGAAAUCCGAUGGCUCAACCAUCGAGCUGCGCUCCAUACUGCAGGGCUUGAGUACAGCAGAGGAAAGUGGAAUUCCUGGUGUAGCGGUGAAAUGCGUAGAUAUCAGGAGGAACACCGUUGGCGAAGGCGACUUUCUGGGCUGCUACUGACGCUGAGGCGCGAAAGCCAGGGGAGCGAACAGGAUUAGAUACCCCCUGUAGU
rnacentral:rRNA from 1 species